UGUCAUUUCUUCUUCACCUCUUCGUAUUUAUAUCUCUUAGCCACAAUCUGCAAACCCAAGAUACCAAAAAAAAAAAACAUUGCAGUAGCUCAUGUUGUCUUCCUUUUCAUUUUCCAUAUCCGCAAAAUUAAUCUUUUAACGGUAAGUACCUGUCUCUUUGCCCUAUGCAUCAAUUUGUUUCAAUCAUUUAUUUGCUUUUGAUUUCUUCUCUUUUUGAAUUGGCUUUUUUGAGGUGGAGGUUGGUAUAUAAUCAGCAAUCCAUGAACGCACUAUACUGGUAAUCAAAAUACGAGAUAUUGGUGCGGUUCAAUCAGAAAACUGUACUCAUUUUUUUACAGAGAUCGGCUUGUUUGAUUGAGCCGUGCCAAUAUCACGUGUUUAAAGAAGACUUGAUGUUAGUAUAGACUUCAUCAAGGCUCCUAUUAAGUUUGGAUAAACAAUAAAAAGGAAAAAAAAAAAAAAAAAGACAGGAAA